rnacentral:rRNA from 1 species
CCUACGGGAGGCUGCCGUGAGGAAUAUUGGUCAAUGGGCGCGAGUCUGAACCAGCCAAGUAGCGUGAAGGAUGACUGCCCUACGGGUUGUAAACUUCGUUUAUAAAGGAAUAAAGUGAGGCACGUGUGCCUUUUUGUAUGUACUUUAUGAAUAAGGAUCGGCUAACUCCGUGCCAGCAGCCGCGGUAAUACGGAGGAUCCGAGCGUUAUCCGGAUUUAUUGGGUUUAAAGGGAGCGUAGAUGGGUUGUUAAGUCAGUUGUGAAAGUUUGCGGCUCAACCGUAAAAUUGCAAUUGAUACUGGCAGCCUUGAGUACAGUAGAGGUAGGCGGAAUUCGUGGUGUAGCGGUGAAAUGCUUAGAUAUCACGAAGAACUCCGAUUGCGAAGGCAGCCUACUAAACUGCCACUGACAUUGAUGCUCGAAAGUGUGGGUAUCAAACAGGAUUAGAUACCCUUGUAGUC